ACACAUGCAGUCGACGGCAGCACAGAGGAGCUUGCUCCUUGGGUGGCGAGUGGCGGACGGGUGAGGAAUACAUCGGAAUCUACUUUUUCGUGGGGGAUAGCGUAGGGAAACUUACGCUAAUACCGCAUACGACCUACGGGUGAAAGCAGGGGAUCUUCGGACCUUGCGCGAUUGAAUGAGCCGAUGUCGGAUUAGCUAGUUGGCGGGGUAAAGGCCCACCAAGGCGACGAUCCGUAGCUGGUCUGAGAGGAUGAUCAGCCACACUGGAACUGAGACACGGUCCAGACUCCUACGGGAGGCAGCAGUGGGGAACAUUGGACAAUGGGCGCAAGCCUGAUCCAGCCAUACCGCGUGGGUGAAGAAGGCCUUCGGGUUGUAAAGCCCUUUUGUUGGGAAAGAAAUCCAGCCGGCUAAUACCUGGUUGGGAUGACGGUACCCAAAGAAUAAGCACCGGCUAACUUCGUGCCAGCAGCCGCGGUAAUACGAAGGGUGCAAGCGUUACUCGGAAUUACUGGGCGUAAAGCGUGCGUAGGUGGUUGUUUAAGUCUGUUGUGAAAGCCCUGGGCUCAACCUGGGAACUGCAGUGGAAACUGGACAACUAGAGUGUGGUAGAGGGUAGCGGAAUUCCCGGUGUAGCAGUGAAAUGCGUAGAGAUCGGGAGGAACAUCCAUGGCGAA
rnacentral:rRNA from 1 species